UACGGAGGGGGCUAGCGUUGUUCGGAAUUACUGGGCGUAAAGCGCACGUAGGCGGACUUUUAAGUCGGGGGUGAAAUCCCAGGGCUCAACCCUGGAACUGCCUUCGAUACUGGAGGUCUGGAGGUCGAGAGAGGCGAGUGGAAUGACCAGUGUAGAGGUGAAAUUCGUAGAUAUUCGGCGGAAUACCAGUGGCGAAGGCGGCUCUCUGGCUGGAUACUGACGCUGAGUUGCGAAAGCGUGGGGAGCAAACGGG
rnacentral:rRNA from 1 species